ACUCUGAUGUUCGCAGAAACCCACCCGCUGAUUCAAUACGGGGACCAGGAACCUGCCAUGACAGUCACGACUCAGUCUGCCUGCACCUACAUGAUUAAAAAGCUUUAUUGCUCACACAAAGCCUGUUUGGUGGUCUCUUCAUAUGGAUGCGCAUAACAUUUGGUGCCGAAGACCCCGGACAGGGUGACUCCUUCGGGAGAUUGGUCCCCUCUCCUCACCCUCACUCCAUGAGAAGAUCCACCUACGACCUCAGGUCCUCAGACCAGCCCAAGGAACAUCUCACCAAUUUCAAACCGGACAGGAAUGUCAGGCCUCUGAGCCCGAGCUAAGCCAUCAUAUCCCCUGUGACCUGCGCUUAUACAUCCAGAUGGCCUGAAGCAACUGAAGAACCACAAAGAAGUGAAAAUACCCAGUUCCUGCCUUAACUGAUGACAUUCCACCAUUGUAAUUUGUUCCUGCCCCACCCUAACUGAUCAGUUGACCUUGUGACAUUCCUUCUCCUGGACAAUAAAUCUCAGGAGCUCCCCACUGAGCACCUUGUGACCCCCGCCUGUACCCGCAAGAGGACAACCCCCUUUAACUGUAAUUUUCCACUACCUACACAAAUCCUAUAAAACCGCCCCAUCCCUAUCUCCCUUUGCUGACUCUUUUUUCAGACUCAGUCUGCCUGCACCCACAUGAUUAAAAAGCUUAAUUGCUCACACAAAGC
rnacentral:lncRNA from 1 species